UUCCUUUUUUAUUAUUAAAUAGUUAAAACCCAGGACAUAAUUACGACAACAUUUAUAAUUAAAUAGAAAAUGCUUUAUUAUUGGGGCUGGUCUGCGAUGCCACUGCAGGUGAGAUGGACUCACCUGCACCGUGUCUACAAUCACGCCUCGCUGGCUUAAAACCUGUGCUCUACUUGUGUUGUUGUUAGUGAUGUGUACAGCUGGCGAGCUGCAGCGGUUGUACUAAUGUACUGUUAGAGAAACCGUGUGAUUAUUGUAACGGUGGACAGCGCACGGCAAGGACCGGUUGGGGUGAGCCGGAGGCUGGCGCGUCAGCGGGACCUGCCAAGCUGGAGACAGAUGUGCGCAGGGGUCCUGCCACACCCGAGGGCAGCGUGCUGUCCGGUCCAGCCUCUCUUCCAACAGAGGCAGCACGCUGCGCAGUACUGCGCGCCGACCGCCUGCUCAGCUGCCUGUGAGCCCCGGCUCACUUCCAUGCCUGCUGCCCCGCGGCUGUUUGCCACAUGGAAGGCUACCUGGGGCGACGAUGAUCCGGGCCGAUUCCCUUGCCUGCUCGCGGAGGGGGCGAGUAGGUUAGAUUCGGCCUCAGGGGCGAAGGGGGUAUGUGGCGGAGUACGUUCUGCGAUGCGCUGCAGUCUCAGAUCAACACAGCCCUGCCCUCCAGCACUAUCCACAGCAACCCCUCAACAGCAACAUUGUACCCAUCAGAUUGAUGGACUGUAGUUUGUCAGAGAUCAGCUGUGAUUGUCUGGCAGCAGCGCUGAAGUCCAACCCCUCCCAUCUGAGACAGCUGGACCUGUGGGGAAACAACCUGAAGGAUCCAGAUGUGAAGCAGCUGUGGGAUCUUUAGCAGAGUCCAGACUACAGACUGGAGACUCUGAGGUGGAGGUGAUGAUGGUAAACAGGACGGUGUGUGUGCUGAGGGAGGAGAAGCUGUGUCCUGAUGAUCCAGAGAGGUUGAAGCAGCAGCAGCUUGUGUGUAGAGAUGCUCUGACUGGGCCAUGUUACUGGGAGGUGGAGAGGAGAGCUUCAUCCAGCAGUGACUGACAGAGGAAUAAGCAGAAGUGCAGAUGACUGUCAGUGCUGCAGAGUGAACUGCUCUGAGAACAGCUCCACUAUCAGACACAAUGUAGAGUCCAGCAUCAUCCCUGUGUGUCCCUCUGGAUCUGACAGAGGAUCAUCAGUGUAUCUGGACUGCUCUGCUGCUGCUCUGUCCUUCUACAGUCUCUGCACAGUCUCUGUCUGACUCUGGCUUCAGAUCCUCCUGGAUCAAACUCACCUGGAAAGACUUUCAAACAUCACUCAAUAGAUUUGAAUACAGAAUAUAUUUGAUAUAUACUGUAGAUGUACUUUAGAGUUGCAGUUUGUCACUUGUAAAUACAGUCUGUGAGCAACUAUGAGCUGAAAGAUCUUUCUAGAAAUACAAAAUGUUUUCGCUCUUCUGUUGCUUUUUCAUAUAUUUCCACAACAUUAAUAUUG
ensembl:lncRNA